CUGAAUUUGCAGCCAGGUGUGCCUGGAGGGGAGGAAAAGAGGCCGAUCUCUGCUUCUGAUCCGCGCAGCUGUUUCGUGACCCAUUUCCUCCCCUUGGACCCGCAGGAAGUUCCCUAUCCAAGUUGAGGGCGCGCGGCACUAUCGUAACAAGUUACACUCACUCCGCCUCAUUCAAGAUGGCCGCCGCCGCGUGCUCCUCAGAUCCCUGCAGAGGAUGUCUUGCACUUGCUGAAUGAACCGGUCAAGUCCAGUGGAUAGAGCUGGGAUGAGUGGAGCGAAGAGACACGCCUUGCAACAUACCUGAGUGCUGUGUGGAGAGUGGAAGACCCUUUCUUGACUGGGCUGAAGCUACGAGAAACACAGUGUACACCAGCUGAGACCAAUGAUGAGCCUGGAACACGCUCUCUGGCAUUGGGUCCUAAUGCUGCUUCUGAUGUUAUUAAGCUGCUGCUUGACUCUUACUUCUCUGUAUGCAGGGCAUAAAUUUCUUGCCUACAUGGGGGGCCUCCUGGGGGUUUCACUCUUUGACAAAGUUGUGUGCAGGGGUCAAGUCCUGGGGAAUAAAGUGUGGGAACUCACCCAAGAUCAACCGCCCUUCCUCCUCCCCCCCAAAAAAUAAUAUACACUCGUAUGCCUAUAUAAACAUGUACACACACACACUAACAGACACACAUACACUCACAGACACACACAUACACUCAUACACAAACACACACACUCACAGAAACACACAAAUCAUUAUUUUUUUAAAUUUAGACAUGUCCACCCAGCCUCUCUACCUGGAGAGCUGGCGUGGACCUGUCCCUGGGGUCCAGUGGGGCUUCAGUGCGGCAGGCGCCUGUCUCCCUGUCAGACGCAUCAGGGGAAACACGGGGGCAUUUGAGAGGGGCAUUUUUUGCCACCUCCUGAGAGCCUGCAGGAGCAACAGGAACGGCGUUCCUGCUGUAAAAAAAGUGCAGGAACACCGUUCCCACGCGUUCCUGCAGGACUCGAACCCUGGUUGUGUUUUACAGCCACUAAUUUUUUUCAUACUUAGAAUCUUCUCUCAGUGCAUACGCUCUGCUCGCCUAUCUGCCUCUUGUUAUUAAGGUUAGCGCAGUGUUAAUUUCAUCUUGUAUUCCAAAACAAAAGUGCUGUUUCCUAUUUACCCAUUGUUUGCUAGAAGAUAUAUUUUAUUAUUAACUUUACACUGUCUGAUAUAAUCUUGUU